rnacentral:lncRNA from 1 species
AUUCUCGUGCCUCAGCCUUCUGAGUGGCUGGGGUUACAGGCAUGCGCCACCACGCCUGGAGAACUUUUUCUUUAUACGUUAAAAUUAAAGAAGUUUUUUUGUGUUUUUAGUAGAGACGGGGUUUCACCAUGUUGGCCAGCCUGGUCUUGAACGCCUGACCUCAGGUGGUCCACCCGCCUCAGCCCCCCAGAGUGCUGGGAUGACAGGCUUGAGCCUCCGCGCCCGGCUCAUAGUCACUUUUAACGGUUACGUUAAGUGUAAAUUUUUAUUUUCCUGGCCAACAUAUUAGUAAGGUGGAAGGUGUGUCGUAGCCCCUACCUGGGCCUUACUAUGCUUUUAGAGGAUUAAAAAAAAAAAAAAUCUUUCUAUCCUUUCUCCUUUUGUUUCUGUCUUCCUAAUUUCCUUUUCCAGCUCUUUCUUUCUUUCUUUGUUUCUUUCGUUGUUUCUGUGUUUCUUUCGUGGUUUCUGUGUUUCCUUGUAUUUUGUCUUUUUUUGCGACAGAGUCUCACUCUGUCACCCAGUUCUGUGUUUCUUUCGUUGUUCCUGUGUUUCCUUAUUUUUAUUAUUAUUAUUUUUUGAGACAGUCUCACUCUUUCACCCAGGCUGGAGUACAAUGGUGUGAUCUCGGCUCACCGCAAUCUCUGCCUCCCAGGUUCAAGUGAUUCUCCUGCCUCAGCCUCCUGAGUAGCUGGGAUUACAGGCGCGUGCCACCGCGCCCAGCUAAUUUUUGUAUUUUUAGUAGAGACGGGGUUUCAACAUUUUGGCCAGGCUGGUCUCAAACUCCUGACUUUGUGAUCCACCCGCCUCGGUCUCCCAAAGUGCUGGAUUACAGACAUGAGCCACCGUGCCCGGCCUCUGUCUGUGUUUCUUUGUUUCUCUCUCUCUCUCUGUCUCUCUUUCUUUCGUUCUCUCUCGCUGUUUCUUUCUCUCUGUCUCUCUGUCUUUGUGUCUUUCUUUCUAGACGGAGCCUUGCUCUGUCGCCAGGCCAGAUAGUGUUUAGUACCGAAUUUUAUUUUCUCCAUUUUCUGUCUUUUUCUUCCUUCCUUCCUUUCUUUCUUCUUCUUUUUAUUUUUUUUUUAAAUUUUCACCUUGAUGCAGGUGGGCGAACGCUGAAAAAGGCAUUAGCCUCUUCUUUCUUUCUUUUUUUCUUUCUUUUUCUUUCUUUCUUUCUUUUUCUUUCCCUCCUUCCUCCCUCCCUUCUGUCCUUUUAUCUGUUCCUUUCCUUUAUUCUUUCUUUCUUUCUUUGUCUUUUAUACUUUCUUUUUUCCUCUCUUUCGCCCUUCUUUCCGUCAUCUCUUUCCUCAUUCUUUCUCUUUUUCAUCUUUCUUCAUUUUCCACCUUUCAUCAUAUACCUUCUCCAGAUUUUUUAAAUUCUGUCUGUUUUCUCCAUCUCCUUCCUCCCCGCUCCCUGCUUGCUUUCUUCCCUCCCUCCUUCCUCCAUCUCUCUUUUUUCUAUCCCCUCCCUCCCUCCCUCCCAUCCCCCACCCCGUGUGGAUUGUGAACGUGUCCUCAUUCGGCGUCUCUCUGUCACCUGAACGACUCGCGCCCGAGUCCUGUGUGUUCUUUCUCCCUCCGAGAUGCAUCUCCAAACACCCACACGUCAUGGGCUUGUCUUUUGACUCUGUCUCGGUCUACGCAGAUACACGUUUGGAGGAGCGUUUCUGUGGGGUUGGGGUGGAGGGGCUGUGUUUUCGGCCUCGGGAAGACUUUCUCGACUCACGGUUUCGGUUUUGCGGUCCGCCGGCCGCCCUGCCAUCCGGAUGUGUCUCGGUGACAGGUUUGGGAUGGUGACAUGUCGCCGGUUUUCGGGCUCCAUCUGGUGGCCGCUUUUAUAUGGUUCUCCUGGCUUCCAGAGCUCCGGUGGCAGCUGCUGAGCGAGGGGAGCGUCCCUGCUGUGAGCUAGGCAGAGCUCCGGAAAGCCUGCGGCUGUCAGCGGGGCUGUCCCUGUGGCGCCAGAGCUCUGGCGAGUCACUUGUGAGUCAGAGCACGGGCGUGCAGGGCUAUAUAGGGGCAGGCUGUCGCCGAGUUUCCAGGCCCGAGCGAGGUGUGCGGGCUGCCGGGGCUGGUCGACCAGCACGCCGUAGCUCCCGAG